rnacentral:rRNA from 1 species
UACGAAGGGGGCUAGCGUUGCUCGGAAUCACUGGGCGUAAAGGGUGCGUAGGCGGGUCUUUAAGUCAGGGGUGAAAUCCUGGAGCUCAACUCCAGAACUGCCUUUGAUACUGAAGAUCUUGAGUUCGGGAGAGGUGAGUGGAACUGCGAGUGUAGAGGUGAAAUUCGUAGAUAUUGGGAGGAACACCAGUGGCGAAGGCGGCUACCUGGACCGGUUCUGACGCUGAUGCGCGAAAGCGUGGGGAGCAAACAGG